AGAGUUUGAUCCUGGCUCAGGAUGAACGCUAGCUACAGGCUUAACACAUGCAAGUCGAGGGGAAACGACAUCGAAAGCUUGCUUUUGAUGGGCGUCGACCGGCGCACGGGUGAGUAACGCGUAUCCAACCUGCCCACCACUUGGGGAUAACCUUGCGAAAGUAAGACUAAUACCCAAUGACGUCUCUAGAAGACAUCUGAAAGAGAUUAAAGAUUUAUCGGUGAUGGAUGGGGAUGCGUCUGAUUAGCUUGUUGGCGGGGUAACGGCCCACCAAGGCGACGAUCAGUAGGGGUUCUGAGAGGAAGGUCCCCCACAUUGGAACUGAGACACGGUCCAAACUCCUACGGGAGGCAGCAGUGAGGAAUAUUGGUCAAUGGACGAGAGUCUGAACCAGCCAAGUAGCGUGCAGGAUGACGGCCCUAUGGGUUGUAAACUGCUUUUAUAAGGGAAUAAAGUGAGUCUCGUGAGACUUUUUGCAUGUACCUUAUGAAUAAGGACCGGCUAAUUCCGUGCCAGCAGCCGCGGUAAUACGGAAGGUCCGGGCGUUAUCCGGAUUUAUUGGGUUUAAAGGGAGCGUAGGCCGGAGAUUAAGCGUGUUGUGAAAUGUAGACGCUCAACGUCUGCACUGCAGCGCGAACUGGUUUCCUUGAGUACGCACAAAGUGGGCGGAAUUCGUGGUGUAGCGGUGAAAUGCUUAGAUAUCACGAAGAACUCCGAUUGCGAAGGCAGCUCACUGGAGCGCAACUGACGCUGAAGCUCGAAAGUGCGGGUAUCGAACAGGAUUAGAUACCCUGGUAGUCCGCACGGUAAACGAUGGAUGCCCGCUGUUGGUCUGAAUAGGUCAGCGGCCAAGCGAAAGCAUUAAGCAUCCCACCUGGGGAGUACGCCGGCAACGGUGAAACUCAAAUGAAUUGACGG
rnacentral:rRNA from 1 species